GAUUGAUAUGCAGGUUUUUUUACUUAUUGAAGCUAACUGCAUAGCGGUAAUAUUGAAUAUGAAAUAAGAAAGCAGGGUUUUAAGGAAAUUAAGCAGGCAGACAGCUGAAUUACUAAGCAAAGCAAAUUUGGCUGAAGACAUGGAGCUUGGAUUUCUUUUUUGAGCUAGUUUGUGCUGACUUUGCAAGCAAACUUCUUUCUCAAAUCCUGGUGGCCUCCAUAUAGUAGCCUUAAAGUUCCUGUAUUUUGUAGCUGUAUCCCUUGGAAGGCAUUGUGAAAUCUGUGGUGAUUAACUGUUACCAUAGUACAGGGAAUGGGCUUGCAACUAUUUUUCCAAGCAAAGAAUAUCCUUUCUAAAAAGCAAUGAAGAAGCUUUUAAAAUUGUCUAAUCCCAUGCAGCAAUUUCUUCCCUUGCUACUGGAGUAAUUUCUGUCAGGCAGGUGAAGCUUUAGACAGUUCAGCUGCAGUGGCUCUGCUAUAGAAGAAAUGAUGUUUGAGGGGUCUUUUUGCAAGCACUUGCGUACUUGAAUUUUCUAAUUGUAGUUAUUUGCCAGUAUGUCAGUGUUUGAUCCUGUCUUAGUCUGUUGAUAGCAAGGAAGACUUCUGAAGUACCUUUUUUCAGGCUUUCAGAAACACUUCUGCAAGACUGAAGGUGGUUAAAAUAGUAGUGUUAUUUCUAAUAGAUUCAUUCUUUGUAUGCUUCUUCAUGUCUUUGUGUGUGCUAGCAACCGAUAUUUGUGCAUGUCUGUAUGGAAGCAUCUUCUGGGUUGUUCAGCUCACUUAAAGAAGGGCUCUGUCCUCUAUAUAGACCAGAAGAAUCCUGGUGGUUAUGUCUGCUUUUCAGUAACUUCUUUUUCCCUUCCACUGAAAGCAGGAUAACCAAACAAAAGCUCAAAGAAUGAAACAUAUCCUGCUGUAAAUUCUUCUCUUGUGUUUGUGUAGCUUCCCUCAGUCUUGGCAACCUGAAAAACCCUCACUCCCACUGUCUGCUCUGUUGGCCUCUUCUAAAGAUCAUGGCACUCUCUCUUCCUGAGCCUUCUUGUCUUCACAGGUUACUGUAAAAGCAGGUUGAGGGUUUCUUCCCCCCCCCCCCCCUCCCCCAAGGUACAAUUAGUUUUCAAUUUAAUGUCUUUAUAGAGCAUAGCUAUGCAGAAUGUCAGCUACACCAUCUGUCCCAUCCAUAUCAUCUGUCAUUCUACUUCGAGCCACCUGUGUUAAUAGGGAAAGCUUUGCUUUGCUUGUCAAAACACCUUCAACACUUCUGUGGUUUUUAACCACUUAAAUAAAAAUAAGAAAAAUAAAAUUGGGGGGGGGGGCAUAAUCAGUUGUGAAUGACAGUGUGUUGUUUUGGUUUUAAGAGCUGACUGUAUCUUUUGGGUUAUUUUGGGUUUAUUAAUUUUCUUUAGUCAAUGGAAAUCAUGGAAAAAGUGAAGUACAAGCAAGAGCAAGAAGAGAUCUCAAUCUAAAAACACUGCAGAGUCUGACAGAUAGAAUUAACUGUCUACAGCACCAUGGGAUACUUCGUUAAAUGCUUUAGAGCUCAAAAUGUGUCCUGAAAUCUCUUCUGUGAACCUUGAUUAUGCUAGGGGAGAGCUAGCAAGAAACACUGUUAAAGUGCUGUUCUGGAACACUUAUUUGAUGGAAGUUUGCAUUCCCAUGAAAACAAAACUAACUGCUCUAUUGUAAAAAUAUUUACUGUGAGCAGCAGAACUUCAGAACCUGUUUUUCUGUGAAUCUGUCCUUUUUCCUUUAUGGCAUGUUAAUAUCUGUGUGUCCCAGCUCUUUUUACUGGCAAUUUUUUUGGGUUUUGUUGCCAGGCAGGAAUAGUACAUACUUAGGUGGAAUAAACUGGCCAAACAGCAUGUAAUAUGAGAGUUCUUCAUGCGUUUCUCUUCAGUGGCAGUGAGCUUGGUUUCUGUCUUGGCCACUGACAGCUUACAAAACGUACAGAAAAGUUGAAAUUGGACAAGGGUUCAAAGGCAGUUUUGGGGAGGAGAGGGGCAAGUAACAGUUCGCACAAAACUUACUCAGCUAAAAAACUGGGGAAAGUAAUAUAAAAUUACAGCAGAAGAUCAACAUAUAGUUGAGCUUUUCCUUGUUUGUAGGUUGAGUCCACAUCUUGUGGGUGACACAGGGUGGUUUUUUGAUGUGUUUUUGUGUGUGUGUGAAUGUACACUUAAAACUUCAUCAUUGCAGACUGGUUUGUGUUGGAAGGGAUGUUAAAGGUCAUCUAGUUCCAACCUCCUGCCGUGGGCAGGGACACCUUCCACAGGACCAUGUUGCUGACAGCCCCAUCCCUGCGUACUGAUAACUGUUUCUCUCAAAUAUGGCUUAUGUCUCCAAAUCUUAUGUCAAAUCAAAUUGGUUGUCUUUAACUGGCCAUCUUACUGUAAAAUGUGAAAGUCAAGUUCCUGAUAUUACCUUAGAACUGGACUUACUUGUAUGUUUAAGCGUUUUACAUGCUUGGACCUUAAAAUGUAACUUUUUGGUUAAUUUUUCCCUUCCUGUUCCAUUUCCAUUGUUUCCCCCAAAAUGUAUUUGACGAGAUUAUUAUAAAUAUCUUCAUAAUUGAAGGGCAAAAGCCUUAUUUGCUGUCAGAAUUUAGCAGGUGGUGUUGAUGUAUUUAAGUACAAACAUUUCAUGCUCUUUUAAUAAAUGGCAUCUUUCUUGUGGGUUUUUUUGUAGUCUAACAAGCUUGUCAGUGUUCUAAAAAGAUGCCUUUUCUGAACCUAAGAUGCUUCUCAGCUUUUGUGUAAAACAGUAGUGAUGUAUGUUCAUAGGAGUCACAACCUGUCAUUUUGUGUGUGUCAGGAGUUUAGCCUGAUGCUUGCUCUCUUGGCAUGGUGGCUUCAUCAGAGCUUGGUGGCUAUGAGAGAUGAGAGUCGACCAGUUACCUCAGAUUUCUUGCAAGUAUUCCUCCUCAUCUCUGCUUGAAAACAGCUUCAAUUAUGUCGAUAGUGGUGGAGCUCCAUGCACAGUGCAGGAACUGAGGCAUGAUUGCUUAAAGCGUUUUUAAUGUAAUAGUGAUGUUCCACAGGGGACUUUUAGAAGCAGCCUCAGCACUAGUGUAGCUGUAUGCAGCAGAAAUGCUUUUCUUUGCUCUCCCCUUUUCUGUGGUGUUUUAUAGCAAGAUUACCACGUCCACAUGAUAUAGAGGCAUAAAGGGCUGUGUGAACAUGAUGACAUACUAGCAGCGGAAUAGCCCCUUCAGUGUAAUGCAGUACCUCCAUUAAAAGGAUCGUUUUUCUCAUACGUGGGCUCUCCUGUUGUUUACUGGGAAAUGGUUAUUAGUGGCAGAAUGUGCAGCUUGCAGCCAGGCAUUGCUCUGUCAGUUAUGCUGGCAGGUAGAAGUGCUGAUGCUGCUGCCAGACAACUGCUGAUUCCAGGUUAUUUUAAGCCAGGAUUGGCUGCCCACUAUGGUUACAGUCAGCAUACUGUAUGCAUACUGGUAUAACUAGAGAGGCAGUCUGGAGACCAGAGUGGCUGAGUGGAGGUUAGGGACUGCUGAGAUCAGGCCAGCUAUUAAAAUGUGUUAUCCUUAAUAUUUAAAAAUAAUAAUAGUUUUAAAUCUGAGCAGGCCCAUAAGGCCCCAAACCACACAAGUAGACAAAUUGGGGAUCUGGCAAAGUACAAGUGGUAGCAGCUGUGAAGAAGUUUAAAAAUUGGAUCUUUUCAUGAAGUUCGUUCUUCUAAAAUUUGAAGUUGGCUGGAUGUAUUAGUUUGUCUUUUCUGUAAGGCACUGUUUUGUCUGCCAAAACUGUCAAACUGCUUCAGAGGUGGCAGUCCAAAUUGUCACACUUACCUGUGGCAGCACCCACACUGAAAACUUGCUGGAAGAAAUAAGGGAUGUUUUAUGCACGUACAGGCAUCAUGUAUAGUUUUACUUUCACGCUACUGAACUAAAGCUUUAAGCGUUCAUUAUAGCUGCUUUUCUAGAGAAUUACUGUA